AGAAGAUCAAAUGCAAGUGAGGAAGGCAAAGGAUAUAACCCGAUAUGUGGAAAUGAAGAAACGUCAGUAGAUUGCUUCUCUUAUGGGAUGAGGGAAAAAUUCUGGAGGAAGUCUAAUAGGAAAUCUCAAGAGCUUGAAGCAGCACUCCAGAACAAAAGCAUGAAUGUGUUUUUGCCAGAUGAUAUCCUCGAAAUGUGCUUAUUGAGGCUUCCAUUUAUAAGUCUGGUGAAUGCUAGGAUGGUGUGCAAGAAAUGGAGAAACUUGACACUGACACCUCGUUUCUGGCGAAUGAGGCAGGAAGGUUCAUUCCAGCGUCCAUGGUUGUUUCUUUUUGGAGUUGUAAAAGAUGGUUGUUGUUCCGCAGAAAUACAUGCAUUUGAUGUUUCCUUCAACCAAUGGCACAAAAUGAAUUCUGAAGUUCUGAAAGGGAGGUUUUUAUUCUCUGUUGCUGGUAUCCAUGAUGAUGU
rnacentral:misc_RNA from 1 species